AUUGAAUGCUGGCGGCAGGCCUAACACAUGCAAGUCGAACGAGCGGCGGACGGGUGAGUAAUGUCUGGGAAUCUGCCCGAUGGAGGGGGAUAACUACUGGAAACGGUAGCUAAUACCGCAUACCAUCGGAUGUACCCAUAUGGGAUUAGCUAGUUGGUGGGGUAACGGCUCACCAAGGCGACGAUCCCUAGCUGGUCUGAGAGGAUGAUCAGCCACACUGGAACUGAGACACGGUCCAGACUCCUACGGGAGGCAGCAGUGGGGAAUAUUGCACAAUGGGCGCAAGCCUGAUGCAGCCAUGCCGCGUGUAUGAAGAAGGCCUUCGGGUUGUAAAGUACUUUCAGCGGGGAGGCGUUACCCGCAGAAGAAGCACCGGCUAACUCCGUGCCAGCAGCCGCGGUAAUUC
rnacentral:rRNA from 1 species